CAUGCAGUCGAGCGGCAGCGACAAUAAAGAUUCUUCGGAUGAUUUAUUGGGCGGCGAGCGGCGGACGGGUGAGUAAUGGCUGGGAACCUGCCUGGUAGAGGGGGAUAACCACUGGAAACGGUGGCUAAUACCGCAUGAUGUCUUUGGACCAAAGAGGGGGACCUUAGGGCCUCUCGCUACCGGAUGGGCCCAGUUGGGAUUAGCUAGUUGGUGGGGUAAAGGCUCACCAAGGCGACGAUCCCUAGCUGGUUUGAGAGGAUGAUCAGCCACACUGGAACUGAGACACGGUCCAGACUCCUACGGGAGGCAGCAGUGGGGAAUAUUGCACAAUGGGCGCAAGCCUGAUGCAGCCAUGCCGCGUGUGUGAAGAAGGCCUUCGGGUUGUAAAGCACUUUCAGCCGUGAGGAAGGCAUUGUACUUAAUACGUGCAGUGUUUGACGUUAGCGGCAGAAGAAGCACCGGCUAACUCCGUGCCAGCAGCCGCGGUAAUACGGAGGGUGCGAGCGUUAAUCGGAAUUACUGGGCGUAAAGCGCAUGCAGGCGGUCUGUUAAGCAAGAUGUGAAAGCCCCGGGCUUAACCUGGGAAAGUCAUUUUGAACUGGCAGGCUAGAGUCUUGUAGAGGGGGGUAGAAUUUCAGGUGUAGCGGUGAAAUGCGUAGAGAUCUGAAGGAAUACCGGUGGCGAAGGCGGCCCCCUGGACAAAGACUGACGCUCAGAUGCGAAAGCGUGGGGAGCAAACAGGAUUAGAUACCCUGGUAGUCCACGCCGUAAACGAUGUCUACUUGGAGGCUGUAGUCUAGAACUGUGGCUUUCGGAGCUAACGCGUUAAGUAGACCGCCUGGGGAGUACGGUCGCAAGAUUAAAACUCAAAUGAAUUGACGGGGGCCCGCACAAGCGGUGGAGCAUGUGGUUUAAUUCGAUGCAACGCGAAGAACCUUACCUACUCUUGACAUCCACAGAAGCCGGAAGAGAUUCUGGUGUGCCUUCGGGAACUCUGAGACAGGUGCUGCAUGGCUGUCGUCAGCUCGUGUUGUGAAAUGUUGGGUUAAGUCCCGCAACGAGCGCAACCCUUAUCCUUGUUUGCCAG
rnacentral:rRNA from 1 species